CCAGCUUCCGUGCGAUGAGGUUCCCACUGCCAAUGCACCAGAGAUGUUGCAGUGUAAGCAUGCAGAAGCGAAACACAGAGAUUUGGACACAAGUCUUCAGGAAGUAAGAGGCCUUUAUUCACAUUACCGAUCGGGUCUCAGAUGAACUCCUGUUCCAACAUUCUGAGAGACCAACACAUUGCCACAACUCCAAUGUACAGGAGUGUACAUUCCUUAUAUAGCACUAUAACUCCUCCCAUUAAUAGCUACACCCACAUAUACCUUUAACCAAUCAAUGAGCAGAAUAUAGACUUGUACAUCUAGUCAAACCACAUGGCUCAUCCAAGACAAAGGAAAUAAGUGCAAUUUCAGUUCCUGCAUUCCUGCACAUGCUCAGUACACUGAUGACAGUAUCCUAGCUACGUGUAGCUAACUAACUGACACAACAUACACAUAUGCCACAUGGAGAUUUUGGCCUACUAAAUUUUGACCAUGCUGGAAUCCCAUCACAUUACCAGUGAUUUAUAAAGAGGCAAAAUGAUAUUCUUGUCCCGAGAAUGAAUGCCCUUUUUAAUACAUGACAAUACCUUACUGGCCUUGGCCACUGCUGAUUGACAUUGCACAUUGUUGCAUAGUUUGUUGUCUAUAACAAUCCCCAAGUCCUUUUCGUGUUGUUAUCCCUAAUUCGCUUCCAUUAAGGGUAUACGUUGCUUGUGCAUUCUUUACGCCGAAGUGCAUAACUUUGCAUAUUUCAACAUUAAAUUUCAUCUGCCAUUUGAGUGCCCAGCCCCCCAGUCUAUCUAAAUCCCUCUGCAGCAAAGUAAUAUCUUGCUCACAUUACAGACAACACAAAACUGUUAAGUAAUACAAACACUGAAACAUGACUUUCAAUGCUUUUUUUCAAGGACAGGCUCCGGACCACGUCUUUGUGUAGUUCAUCCUCUUCUCCGAUCUUUGGCUGGAGGGUAGCUGCCUCAUUGCGCACGUGGUCGCCUUCCAUGAGGGCAGCGGUCAGUUCCGCUUUUUUACGAUGACCAGGGGUUAUCCCUCUGGCUUCACACAAAUCUUGUAACGUUGGACGUUUCAGGGACGUAUAGUCCAUGAGUCUGUUCGGCUGGGACGUGGGAUCCCAUCAUUUGCCACUAGUUGUAGCGGGUCCUGGAACUCGACUGGUUACCCCCGCUAUUAAUGAAGUAAAAGACCCAUUUUUCCCAGUAACUGGAUGACACCCAGUUCCAGGAUACAACAACAGCUUUAUUGGCCACACUUGACUUUAUACCUUUCCCCAUACAAGGGGUGGUUCACUCAUACAAUGUCCUCCCCUUCCCUCGGGUCAUAUAACAGAACCGGACCCCAGUCCUUUGUUCCCGCCACUCAGUGUCCCCUCCCACGGCCCUGCCCCUCCCAGGGGCCCUUGCAUGUGACAGGAACUCCAGUCCCUUUGUCCCCAGUUCCCGCCACCCAAAUACUUCCAGUGGCAGUGGGGUCUUCUUCCAAAGACCCUCUUUACCUGGGAGUCCCAGCGCAGGAAAGACUCCCACCUCCUGGGCUCUCAGGCGCAGAAACCCGCCAUACCGCCAUUGUCCCCAAAGAGUGAUCCCAUCAAUCCUAGGACCCUCAGAACAGCAACCGUCCCGAACCCUCUCUGUUCGUGGGAUCCCUGGGUGAAACCAGGCAAGGGAAGCAUCUCCUUUCAGGACAUGAACGAUCCCACUGGCCGGCGUUCUUCUGUACAAAUGGUGUUCACCCAGGCAAGCGCUUAUUAAUUACUUCCCUUGCAGUUUCACACUUAUGUUGCAAGUUGCCAACGUUCUAAUGGAUUGGUGUGAAUGAGGACUGGGGAGGUCCUCGUUCAGGAGCCGAACGAGGUGGGAAGCAAUCCGCGAAUGCUCCCCUGAACGGCUUUCGUAUAACGAACGGGCCACAACCCAGGGUCGGCACGCACCGAGGCGUCACUUUCUGUUUGUGGUUUUCACACCUCGUUAAUGGGUAUCUAAAUGGGGUAUCGAGGUGGUCCUCAUUCGGGAGGCGAACAGAACCUGUUCAUAUGGGGCCUCUCGAUUGGGGAGUAGGUAAAAUACAAGAAUACAGCACACUAUAGGGGAGAAAUACGGGGAAUGACACAUAGCAAUUUACGAACAGGCAGCGGUCCCGCCACAAAAACGCCAUGUCAUCUUGUUUUUGCAAUCCAGCAAGACACUGAUCCCAAGCAUACCUCAAUUCCACCAAGUUUUGGAAGUCCUGGAAAAUUCUAGAGUGGCAAAUUCUACAGUCACCUAACUUGAACUCCAUAGAAAAUCUCUGGUGGGAUUUGAAGAAGGUGGUUGCAGCACCUAAUCCCUAGAAUAGUACUGAGCUGGAGGCUAUUGGUCAUGAAAAAUGAGCUAAGGUUCCUCAGCAGCGCUGCCAGAAGCUGGUGUCUGGCUAUGCAUCUCAUUUGCAGCAGGUCAUAACAGCAAAAAGGGUCUACUAAGUACUAAAUAUGCUGGCAAUGAAUGGGGUUGACUAAUUUUGAGACUGGAGAAGUCAUUAUAAGUUGUAUUUGUUGUGUUGAGCUAUUUUAAUUACUUUUGUUUGAUUUGUUCAUUGCAAACGGCUCAAAGUCUGUAAAUGUCGACAAUAAACCUGAUUUUCAAUGGGAGUUGAAUAAUUAUGAUCACAACUGUAGGUAGAUAUGAAUAAGUGUCUUGUCCAAGGACACUUACUGGUGUGGUGGUUUCCAACCCAGGGUUUGAGGCAGUGACCAUAUUUUAGGGAUAUGUGUACCGCUGGAAUUAUGUCUUCUUACUAGGAGUAAGUACCAUCACAGAGGGUUUUUUAAUGUUGACCUUUAUGAUUCACACAAAGCACUUUAUAACCCUCUUCAAAACAGAUGUCCUGCUGUCCUGAAAGGGUUACUCUUACUUAGGGACGUCUUUAACGCGGGCCAAAUGGGGCCUGCUGGGGGGCCCAAGUUUGCCCUCUGUCCGCAAACUAUGGGGGCCCAUCGGGUGGCCCAUGCACUUAGGGCCACCCGGUGGGCCUGUGUCAGCAAAUGCCCGGACGGGUGCUGUGGCGCUUUAACAGCGCGACCGGGCCCUUGCUUUUCGUCAGCAUUGGGAGGAAGUGACAGCCAUGCGUCACUUCCUCCCACAGAAACAGGAGCCGUGCGGGAGGAAGGAGCUGUUCCGGAGGGGGGCCAGGCCGGGAGAGAUCGAGAGCUUAACUCCAAGCCACCUCAGCCAGCCCACUGGACCCAAGGGAAGCCACCCUCCAGGAAAAGGUAAGAAACUGGAGGGUGGUUAUCAAAUUUUGCACGAGUGUCUGAGUGUGUGUGUGUAUGUCUGUCUGUCAGUGUAUGUCUGUUAGUGUGCCAGUAUGUCUGUCAGUGUAUCUGUAUGUCUGUGUGUGUGUGAGAGUCUGUCAGUGUCUGCGUGGUUCAGUAUGUCUUUGUGUAUGUGUGUUUCAGUAUGGCUGUCUGUGUGUGAGUCUGUAUCAGUAUGUCUGUCGGAAUGUGUCUCUGUAUCUGUAUGUUGUCCAUUUGUGUUUGUGUGUGUGUGUAUCUGUAUGUGUCAGUCUUUGUAUCUGUAUAUCUGCAUGUUUGUCAGGUUGUGUAUCUGUGUGCCUGUAUGUGUGUCAGUGUGUGUGUCGGUGUAUCUAUAUUUAGUCAGUGUGUGUACCUUUGUAUCUGCAUGUAUGUCAGUGUUUGUAUCUGUAUGUGUCAGUGUAUCUAUAUGUAGUCUGUGUGCAUCUGUAUGUUCUUGUGUGUAUCCAUAUGUGGUCAGUGUGUAUCUGCAUGUGUGUCAGGUAGUGUAUUUGUGUGUAUCUAUAUGUAGUCAGGGGGCCCAAGUAAAUGCUUGCCCAGGGUCCAAUCAAAAUGAAACACGGCCCUGCUCUUACUUUGUUGUAACAUUUAAGUGGUUCAGUGUAUAUAGUGAUCCCUAAUAUGCAUGUGGCCAGGACAAAGAAAGAGUUGUUUUUCCUCCCUCUCAGGAUAAUAAAUGUGCUCUUUUUAAACGGCCUUUUCGGGGCGCCCCCUGCAGUGAUGCGGCAGGAGUCCAGGUGUCGUACCGUGCCAUCAUGAAGCAGGUGAAUGGAUCCAGCAGUGGAAGGCUAUGGGAUGAUCAGCAGAAAUCUCCAUUCUACAAUUACAAGGUUUGUACCAUGUCUCUGCGAGCCACGUUGGGAUACGCACGGAACAUGAGAUGCUGCUCAUUUUAAUAAAGGUUAAUGUAUUAUCUUCACUCUGCUCCUUUAAUGUUUCUGUAGGAUAAAUCUGGCAGUGUCCACCAGGUCUGGUACGAUGACCCUGAGAGCAUUUCUCUGAAAGUGGCUUAUGUAAAGACGCGUGGUCUGAGAGGCGUGGGCAUGUGGAAUGGUGACCUUCUGGAUUAUUCUUCGGAUCCUAGUGCUCAGGAACAAACUGCAGCCAUGUGGAAAGCGCUGCUUCCUUGACCCUUCGAUGACCAUCUCCCACCAGCUCUGUAAUUUGGCUGUCUGAGAGGCGGAUUAAAUAAACCUUCUUACAGUGUCUUUCAUUAUCAAUAGUUGAAUAUGAAUAAAAAUGCAACUUUAUUCACUAUUAUUAGGUCGUGGAAUACCAUUUGUGAACUUCUUGGUAUUUUAAAGUGAUUUGCUGAAAGUACCAUAACCAACACAGCUCGG
rnacentral:lncRNA from 1 species